ensembl:snRNA U6 U6 spliceosomal RNA
AUGCUCACUUUGGCACACAUAUACUAAAACUGGAAUGAUACAGAGAAGAUUAGCAUGACCCCUGCACAAGGAUGAGAGGCAAAUUUGUGAAGCAUUCCAUAUUAAA